rnacentral:lncRNA from 10 species
UAAGCAUCACCCCAGCUCAGCCCAGUUAUGAAUUUCAUUGCUGAGCUCUGAGCCCAGGUUGUCUGGCAGCAUUUCUGAUUGUAAUCAGUUUUGUGCAGUGAGAUCACCUUGCUGACCACGAGCGGUGGCUCCCAGCACUGCAAAGAUAUGUGUGGGGCCGGCCUGCUUUUGUGACUGCAGCAUUCACCCUUCAGGGGACAGACAGCGGCUCUUGCUGUCUCAAUGCCACUGGAAGAACUCCAAAGGGUGCCUGGAGGACCAGCUUGGACUUUCAGUUCUGUUGCUUACGAGUGUGUGACCUUGGACAUGUUGUGCGUCUCUCUGCCUCUCGGUUCUGUGACCUGGGCAUAGUUAACACCUGCUUUUGAGGUCUUGUGAGGAAUAAAUGAGACAUUUUAUUGAAACAGCU